CUUCCUCUUUAAAAACUGAUACGAGAAAACAGAGCAACAUCAGAUCUCGAAGCACCUUGCCCUGAAGAAGAAGAAGAAGAAGAAGAAGAGGCUGCCUUUGAUUGUCCCAGUCCUGCCCAGGUGAUUAAUUAGCUUCCCUUUUAGCUUCCAGUCGUGUGUUUUCUGUUAGAGAUCCAGAUCAGCUAAUUUGAGAAGCCCCUGCCAGAUAACAGCCCUCAUUUCCAGUCGUGGAGUCCCUGCUGGGUUAGUGGAGGAGGGAAAGUUUGUUGGCUGCCAUGGGUGGUUUUGAGCUAAGCUGAAAAUCGCGUGUAGUGAGCUGAAGGGAGAAGAUGAAGCAAAAGAAAAUUGUUGUUUUAUUUUAUUCAAAAAUAAAAUGGUCAUAGUUUUUAUGGCCCAGGAUUGCCUCCUUUUCAUUCCCUGUUUUCAACUUCACGUCAAUUCUUUUGAAGUCACCCAUGGCGCUAUCUCUUAGUUUUAUUCAAAGUAAAAUGGUCAAACCUUAAUGGUCAUUCUGUUGUGUAGUCCUUCAUCUUCUUUUGUCACUCCAUUUUAAUCCCCUUCUCUUUAAUUCUUUUUAUUUUUUAAAAUAUGUAGAAAAACAAUGGUUAAAUUGGG
rnacentral:lncRNA from 1 species